rnacentral:rRNA from 1 species
GACGAACGCUGGCGGCGUGCUUAACACAUGCAAGUCGAACGAAGAGCGAUGGAAGCUUGCUUCUAUCAAUCUUAGUGGCGAACGGGUGAGUAACGCGUAAUCAACCUGCCCUUCAGAGGGGGACAACAGUUGGAAACGACUGCUAAUACCGCAUACGAUCUGACCUCGGCAUCGAGGAUAGAUGAAAGGUGGCCUCUAUUUAUAAGCUAUCACUGAAGGAGGGGAUUGCGUCUGAUUAGCUAGUUGGAGGGGUAACGGCCCACCAAGGCGAUGAUCAGUAGCCGGUCUGAGAGGAUGAACGGCCACAUUGGGACUGAGACACGGCCCAGACUCCUACGGGAGGCAGCAGUGGGGAAUCUUCCGCAAUGGACGAAAGUCUGACGGAGCAACGCCGCGUGAGUGAUGACGGCCUUCGGGUUGUAAAGCUCUGUUAAUCGGGACGAAAGGCCUUCUUGCGAAUAGUUAGAAGGAUUGACGUACCG